UGGAAAAGGAAGCAGGCUUUGCGAA
rnacentral:piRNA from 1 species